AGGCUUAACACAUGCAAGUCGAGGGGCAGCACAGGUAGCUUGACCGGGUGGGGACCGGCGCACAGGUGAGUAACGCGUAUGCAACUUGCCUAUCAUGAGGGGGAUAACCCGGCGAAAGUCGGACUAUUACCGCAUGAAGCGCGGAUCCCGCAUGGGAAUAUUUGCUAAAGAUUCAUCGCUGAUAAAUAGGCAUGCGUUCCAUUAGGCAGUUGGCGGGGUAACGGCCCACCAAACCGACAAUGGAUAGGGGUUCUGAGAGGAAGGUCCCCCACAUUGGUACUGAGACACGGACCAAACUCCUACGGGAGGCAGCAGUGAGGAAUAUUGGUCAAUGGGCGUAAGCCUGAACCAGCCAAGUCGCGUGAGGGAUGAAGGUUCUAUGGAUCGUAAACCUCUUUUAUAAGGGAAUAAAGUGCGGGACGUGUCCCGUUUUGUAUGUACCUUAUGAAUAAGGAUCGGCUAACUCCGUGCCAGCAGCCGCGGUAAUACGGAGGAUCCGAGCGUUAUCCGGAUUUAUUGGGUUUAAAGGGUGCGUAGGCGGCCUUUUAAGUCAGCGGUGAAAGUCUGUGGCUCAACCAUAGAAUUGCCGUUGAAACUGGGGGGCUUGAGUAUGUUUGAGGCAGGCGGAAUGCGUGGUGUAGCGGUGAAAUGCAUAGAUAUCACGCAGAACCCCGAUUGCGAAGGCAGCCUGCCAAGCCAUUACUGACGCUGAUGCACGAAAGCGUGGGGAUCAAACAGGAUUAGAUACCCUGGUAGUCCACGCAGUAAACGAUGAUCACUAGCUGUUUGCGAUACACUGUAAGCGGCACAGCGAAAGCGUUAAGUGAUCCACCUGGGAAGUACGCCGGCAACGGUGAAACUCAAAGGAAUUGACGGGGGCCCGCACAAGCGGAGGAACAUGUGGUUUAAUUCGAUGAUACGCGAGGAACCUUACCCGGGUUUGAACGCAUUCGGACCGAGGUGGAAACACCUUUUCUAGCAAUAGCCGUUUGCGAGGUGCUGCAUGGUUGUCGUCAGCUCGUGCCGUGAGGUGUCGGCUUAAGUGCCAUAACGAGCGCAACCCUUGCCACUAGUUACUAACAGGUAAAGCUGAGGACUCUGGUGGGGCUGCCAGCGUAAGCUGCGAGGAAGGCGGGGAUGACGUCAAAUCAGCACGGCCCUUACAUCCGGGGCGACACACGUGUUACAAUGGCGUGGACAAAGGGAAGCCACCUGGCGACAGGGAGCGAAUCCCCAAACCACGUCUCAGUUCGGAUCGGAGUCUGCAACCCGACUCCGUGAAGCUGGAUUCGCUAGUAAUCGCGCAUCAGCCAUGGCGCGGUGAAUACGUUCCCGGGCCUUGUACACACCGCCCGUCAAGCCAUGGGAGCCGGGGGUACCUGAAGUCCGUAACCGCGAGGAUCGGCCUAGGGUAAAACUGGUGACUGGGGCUAAGUCAUAACA
rnacentral:rRNA from 1 species